rnacentral:lncRNA from 1 species
GCCGGGCGCUCGGGUUUCAGCCGCCGCUCCUCCGCGCCCCGCCCGCGCCUGGCCCGCUCGCCGGCGCCGGGAGAGACCUCGUAACGGAACUGGGACGCCAGCGCUGCAUUGUGGGAGCUUUUAAAGCGGCGGGGAGCUCGGCGCGACCCUCGGGCCCACCGGGCCACGCUCGCCCGGCCCGCGACGCCCCCCCGCUGUCGCCUGGCCCGCGACGCACCGAGGCCUGAGGACCCGAAAGCCGGGCGCGGGGAGAUGACCGGUGGCUCGUGACGGUCCCACGGGCAAAAUCUUCCAUCGCCCGGGGCUGAGACUUGUCAAACUGCCCUCUACGGUCACCCGGAAAGUAGGAGGCUUUUUCUGCAGAGGGGAAAAAAAUCAAAAAGAGCCGUUCCAUCCCCCCUCCAAGGACUGGGUUUGAAUUGCUUUUCAUCUGCAGUGGCUGUGAUUCAGCGUCCCUCUUAGCAGCAGGCAAUGACAGAGGCAGGAGAGGGGAAAAAAAAAAAGAAAGAAAGAAAAAACACAGCAAAUGAAUCAAACGGACGUAGCAGGCAAGAGUGUGGUUAUCGUUGGACCAGGAUUCAGGAUCUGACUGAGUAGCUGACUCUUAAUCCAGUUUGUGUUGAUCACCAGGAGGAUCUGGACCUCAGUAUUACCACAUCUAGAGCUAUAAUCACAUCCCUGUUAAGCCUUCCUGAGAUCACACCAAAUGUCCUUGAUGGGAAUUGUAAACAACCCUUACUUCUGGUUUCUAAUGAUAUUCCAGGAAAGGAGCCUAACUAGAGUCAGUGAUAUGCCAACUCCACCUUUGCCUUCCACCAUGUUUGGAAGCUCCCUGAGGCCUCACCAGGAGCAGAUGCUCGUCCCAUGCUUCCUAUAAGCCUGCAGAACUGUGAGCCAUAAUAAACUGUGAAUUAUAAAUUGCCUUUAUAGCAAUGCAAAUGGACCAGUACAGAUGGGAUGCUGGGAAGACAGUUGUUUCCACCUUCAGUAAAGUCCGUGGAACACAGUUGUGACUAUAUUCUAGGCCAGCCAAGAUGCUUGUACUCAGAAAGGAGUGGUCUCAGGACCAUAAGAAAGUGAAAAAAUAAAAAUAAGAAAAUAAAGAAGGGAUUGUCAAUGAAUCAGAAUUCAUCAAGGUCAAAGUCUUAGGAAAUUCCUUCAUGAGGAAGUCUAGGGGGGCUAUGGAAAUGAAAUUUUUAAACAAAUAGGUAUGUGGUGCUGGCAGGAAUAAAUUAUGGACUUAUGAAUAUAACAUAAGAUUCUUUAUUACCUGGUCUCACCCGUCUUUCCACCUCUGCCCCCCUUCUUGCCCGACUCUGUGUAUCACCCAUAAUAAACUACUUACAGCUUCCUAGUGUUAAAUUUACCCUAAAGCUGCCUCCUUCAAUAUUUUAAGUUUAACCUAAAGGUUCUUCAUACAUAGUGAACUAUAACCCAAUGAUUAAACAGAUUGUAACCUACUCUUGUACCAGUCACCAAGUUUCAGCCAAUCAGAGGUGGCCAACUGUUCAAACCAUGCUCAAAUAAGGGAAAUGUCAUGGUGUAACUAAUCCAGCUGUUUCUAUACCUUACUUCUGUUUUCUUAGGUCACUUUCCUUUUUUGUCCAUAAAUUCUCUCCAACCACUCAGCAGCACUGGAGUCACUCCAAAGCUAUCCUGGUUCAGGGGUCUGUCUGAUUCACAAGUCAUUCUUUGUUCAAUUGAGCUCUGCUAAAUUUAAUUUGUCUGAAGUUUUUCUUUUAACAGAUGGUGUCAGAAAUGGACCCCAAAGUAGAGCUCCCAGUGAUCCCCCAGGAGCACUGAGUGACCACAAGGGGUACCUGCUGGGCCCGUCCUCUCGCAGUGUCCACUGCUCUCUUACAGCAACUGGAGAUUGUGGCUGCAUUCUCUCUCAGAUUCUGAAGCUCCAUACAUUGCCGUUUUCAGCUGUUCAAGCUUGCUUGAGCAAAUUUUUGAUCUUAGCUGAGUUUGGAAGUCGAUAGACAUUGGACUGGGUCCAGGAUUUGAUUGGAUCUGAUAAUUAACUGGCUUGGAUCCAGUUAGAUGCCUCGGUUAUCUGACUGGGUCAGAUAGAAACCGCCAGUAAAUAUUUUAAUAACAAUACUGCAGGGGUAUGAACUCUGGCUUUAAGAAACUCACAAGGAAUUUUAUGUUCUAUACCCUUUGUUUCUUUUUCUUGUGUGCUUCGGUCAGGAAAAAUCAUUAGUCAAGUUAAUCAAGGGGAUCUGAGAGCCAAAUACAAGAUUCAACGUAAAAAUGGAAUCCUUGGGCUAGGCGUGGUGGCUCAGGCCUGUAAUCCCAGGACUUUGGGAGGCUGAGGCAGGCGGAUCACCUGACCUUAGGAGUUCGAGACCAGUCUGGCCAACAUGGUGAAACCCCGUCUCCACUAAAAAUACAAAAAUUAGCCAGGCGUGGUGGUGGGCACCUGUAAUCCCAGCUACUUUGGAGGCUGAGGCAGGAUAAUCACUUGAACCCAGGAGGCAGAGGUUGCAGUGAUCUGAGAUUGCACCACUGCACUCCAGCCUGGGCAAAAGAGCGAGACUCCAUCUCAUAAAUAAAUACAUAAAUAAAUAAAGAAAUCCUUAAUUUCUGCGGAACUGAGUGCUCUACCUUCUGGCUACACCUACGUAUACCUGUAUGAGGUAUAGGCCCUGGAAGCAGCAAACACUUACAGAAAUGGUGAAAUCUUACUAAAGGUAAUCUAAAGUUAUGGUGGAACAUCCCAAAUGAACAACACUGCACUUUAGGAAGUACAUAUAAAAAUGAAGUCUCCCAAUUUAGUAUUAUUCAGGGAUGGCUGUUGAAGUUCAGAAGCUUCUAAAAAGAUUCCAAUAAUUUUACAGAUUCUUUUAAAAGAUUCUUUGUAAAAGGCAAAUAAAAAGCUUAAGUGACUAAUCAGAAAAAUUAGGUCUUCUAACCUUUUGUCAUUGUUACUGUCUUGCCCUGAAAGGGAAAAGAAAGCUGGAUAAAGUAUUUAUAGAAGAUAGAGGACCUGUGGUGGCUCAUGCCUGUAAUCCAAGGUGGAAGGAUUGCUUGAGGCCAGAAGUUCAAGACCAGUCCAAGCAACAUAGCAAGGCCCCAUCUCUACAAAAAAUGAAAAUAAAAUUAGCCGAGCGUGAUGGCUCAUGCCUGUAGUUCUAGCUUCUAGAGAGGCUGAGGCAGGAGGAUUGCUUGAGUCCAGGAGUUCAAGAUUACAGUGAGCUAUGGUCACACCACUGCACUCCAGCCUGGGUGAUGGAGUGAGACUGUCUCAAUAAAAAGACAAAAAGGCUGGCCAGGGGCAGUGGUUCAUGCCUGUAAACCCAGCACUUUGGGAGGCAAAGGCAGGAGGAUUGCUUAAGCCCAGGAAUUUGAGAUCAGCCUGGACAACAUGGUGAGACCCCCAUCUCUACAAAAAUUUUUUUUAAAAGUUACCCAGGCAUGGUGUUGCACAUCUGUGUUCCCAGCUACUGGGGAGGCUGAGACGGGAGGAUCACUUGAGUCCAGGAAGUUGAGAGGUUGAGGCUGCUGUGAGCUGUGAUUGUGCCACUGCACUUUAGCCUGGACAACAGAGGGAGACCCUGUCAACAACAACAACAACAACAAAAAAGCAAAACAUCAUAGGCUGCAGAAAUAAACUUUCUUGUCAAUUGUGUCUUUAACCAUGACCAUUUUGAGUCAUUUCCACAGUGAGUUGCCUAAUUUUGAUGCAUUUCUGAAAACUCUUUAUAAGCAAGUAAAAUCCUAGAGAAUUGUGCCUUCAAGGAGACUCAUGGAAAGGAUGGAAAGAACUCUUGAAUACAUGUUUCUGAUAGCUUUAUGAUCAUAUCAUUUGGACUGGGUAAGAAUUCCCAGAACUCAUGAAGAGACUGACUAUUUAUUAAUCCAAGCAGGAAAAGAAUUAAUUGAAUACCAAGGAAAUACUGUGCCAGAGAUUUUCAUGCUAAAUCAGUCAGCACCGAAAUCGUUAAGAUGUGUAGUUUGAAUGAACUCCAUGAUCCUAGUCAAAUUUCCUAUGAUGACCCAUUUAAUAAACAGUGCUAUGCACCUGAAUUGGAGAAACAGAAUUGAUACUUAAAUCCAAUGUUAAUCAUAGAUUCAUGGAAAGCCUAAAUGGCUGCUUGGGUCUUCCUGAGCCCUUAAAGCUUCCAUUAUUAAAGGCUCUGCACUUUAUAAGUUAUCACUGAAGAGAGAAAAUGAUCCAGAUUUAAAAUACACAUAUUGGUGUGGUGAAUGUUCUAAAUUGCGAAAAUGGUUUAUGACCAACAUUUGGUUUGUCAUGCUCACAAUCCUGGAAAUACAUUCAAAACUUCAGGUACAUUUCUGCUACCUGAUGGGCUAUUUGAAUAUAUAGAGAGGGAUUUCAUUCAAUUGCCAUUUUCAUUGCAUGUUUUUUGGUUGUAUAGAAGCUUUCCCAUGCAAGGAGGCUGAUGCUGUUAUUACAGUAGCUAAAAGGUUAGUAGGAAAUGUGUUUUCCCCCAUGGGGCAUUCCUGGAGAAAUCUCUAGCAAUAAAGGUACUUGUUUGACUGGACAAGUUGUAAAACAGUUUAAUAAGGUUUUUUUUAGGUGUCAUAGCAUUAGGCAAAGCUAACUGAAUUGACUGGAUUGUCAUAGUCAAACAUAUUGCAGAUCCGCUUCCAAUAGAAGACAAUGAAAUAGUCACUGGAAAGCCUGUGCUCCUAAUUUUAGAACCUCAUGUAUCUUCUGCUCCUAAACUCUGAUAGGACUAAAUGCUGUGAGGCCUCAAUGCAUUAUGUUAAUGUGUAUUUUCACCAGGUCAAGGAAGCUUUUCCUGAUCCACUAACUAAGGACAAUCAAACCCUUCAUGAUCUAGAAUCUGGAGACUGUGUCUUCUGGGAAUAGUAUCAGAGAAAGACUGCCCUUACUGCCCACAUGUAGCAAAACUUUGAGACGUUGAAUUAUGGGUCCAUAAUCUCACAACUCAGAGGGGCACCUCUAGACUCUUGGAACUGUAUAUCUAUUGGAGACUUUAAGGUAAAGCUGAACAGAGAGACGUUUUUCUCCAGAAGCAGACAGCACCAUAGUCAUGGACAGCUUUCCCAAGAUCACAGAUCAAGACUUCUCUGCCGUCAUGAGACUCAUAACCUCUUAAUUUUUUCUUGCUUAUGCUUCUGUGAACAAUAGAAUUGGAAAAGGGGUGGUCCCGCGUGCACCCAUAGGGUAUACUUUUAUUUGUGGAGGAUUUUGCUGCCAACCUUAUACAUGGGCAAACUUAUGCCUUCAUGGAUGGAAGAUAAAGGGCUAAUAUGGGUUAGAAAUUUUAAUGGUACCUUUGUUUCUCCAUAAUCAUUCAGAAACAGAACACUGGUCCACUCUUGUUAACCUACAUCAUAGGUUGAAGAGAACAUUGCCAGGAGGCCUUCAUCCUUCCAGAUGGGCACCAUUUGUUGGGUCUUUUUCCGUGGUAUGAAGAAAAUGAAGCAAUGAUUAGAAAUUGGUCCCUCGGCCGGGCACAAUGGCUCAUGCCUGUAAUCCCAUCACUUUGGCAGGCCGAGGCGGGUGGAUCACCUGAGGUCAGGAGUUUGAGACCAGCCUGACCAAUGUGGUGAAACGCCAUCUCUACUAAAAAUACAAAAAUUAGCUGGGUGUGAUGGUGCACACCUGUAAUCCAGCUACUCGGGAGGCUGAGACAGGAGAAUUGCUUGAACCUGGGAGGCAGAGGUUGCAGUGAGCCAAGAUCACCCCACUGCAUUCCAGGUUGGGCAACAGAGCAAGACUCUGUCUCAAAAAAAAAAGAAGAAAGAAAGAAAUUGAUCCCUCAUAAUAGGCUGUAUAGCAGAUUCUACUGCAAAGGCUAUGGUUGCACAACAGACUUCUUUGAAUUUGCUUGCUAAACUUUUACUGGAUAAUACUGGGAUUACAGGUGUGAGCCACUGUGCCCAGCCUCUCCUGUUUAACUGUAUUCAUUCUAAUGUUUACUUACUUCUUUAAUUUGUAAAAUUGGGUCACUUAGAGUUUUUUUAGCCUAUCUUGCCAUUUAGCCACUGUUACUGAUAAUUUGGAUGGAAAAGAAAAAUAAAUUAUAUCACCUCUCAUCUUCAGUGUAUAUAUGUGUUAACUUAGUAAAUAUAGUAUUCUUUCUCGUUCCUAAUGAAAAUUUAGUUUACGUACUGAAACACUGCAAACUUUUAUAAAUAUUGUGAUGUAUUUGACCAAUACAAAGGAUCUUUUUAGAAACAGCAAACAGUUCUCAGAUUAUAGGAAUUACUCAUUUAAUGAUAGUUUCUUCUU